UGGCGGACGGGUGAGUAAUGUCUGGGAAACUGCCCGAUGGAGGGGGAUAACUACUGGAAACGGUAGCUAAUACCGCAUAACGUCGCAAGACCAAAGAGGGGGACCUUAGGGCCUCUUGCCAUCGGAUGUGCCCAGAUGGGAUUAGCUAGUAGGUGGGGUAAUGGCUCACCUAGGCGACGAUUCCUAGCUGGUCUGAGAGGAUGACCAGCCACACUGGAACUGAGACACGGUCCAG
rnacentral:rRNA from 1 species